ensembl:lncRNA
CUUUUCUGUUCUACCUGAUAAUGAAUUGCACCCACAAUACAGUCAGGGACAGAUAUUUAGGCAACACAGUGAUAUGGAUUAUUGUACUGCAUUACAGGUACGCCCAAUGUAAUAGAUCAUUAAUAGUAGUCAGAUCUUGGUGAAUAAACACUGUCGCAGGUAGUGCACUGCAUACCAGGUGCUACUGAACAUCUGGUUUAUGAGUUGAUAGUCUGGUACUGGAGAUUAUAGUAAUGUCAUGGAGGUGGUACAGUAGAUUAUAAUUAUAGUAAUGUCAUGGAGGUGGUACAGUAGAUUAUAGUAAUGUCAUGGAGGUGGUACAGUAGGUUAUAGUAAUGUCAUGGAGGUGGUAUAGUAGUUUAUAGUAAUGUUAUGGAGGUGGUACAGUAGAUUAUAGUAAUGUCAUGGAGGUGGUACAGUAGAUUAUAGUAAUGUCAUGGAGGUGGUACAGUAGAUUAUAGUAAUGUCAUGGAGGUGGUACAGUAGAUUAUAGUAAUGCCAUGGAGGUGGUACAGUAGAUUAUAGUAAUGUCAUGGAGGUGGUAUAGUAGUUUAUAGUACUAGUAAUGUCAUGGAGGUGGUAUAGUAGUUUAUAGUACUAGUAAUGUCAUGGAGGUGGUACAGUAGGUUAUAGUAAUGUCAUGGAGGUGGUACAGUAGGUUAUAGUAAUGUCAUGGAGGUGGUACAGUAGAUUAUAGUAAUGUCAUGGAGGUGGUACAGUAGGUUAUAGUAAUGUCAUGGAGGUGGUAUAGUAGUUUAUAGUACUAGUAAUGUCAUGGAGGUGGUACAGUAGAUUAUAGUAAUAGUAAUGUCAUGGAGGUGGUACAGUAGAUUAUAGUAAUGCCAUGGAGGUGGCACAGUAGAUUAUAGUAAUGCCAUGGAGGUGGUACAGUAGAUUAUAGUAAUGCCAUGGAGGUGGUACAGUAGAUUAUAGUAAUGCCAUGGAGGUGGUACAGUAGAUUAUAGUAAUGCCAUGGAGGUGGUACAGUAGAUUAUAGUAAUGCCAUGGAGGUGGUACAGUAGAUUAUAGUAAUGCCAUGGAGGUGGUACAGUAGAUUAUAGUAAUGUCAUGGAGGUGGUACAGUAGAUUAUAGUACUAGUAAUGUCAUGGAGGUGGUACAGUAGGUUAUAGUAAUGUCAUGGAGGUGGUACAGUAGGUUAUAGUAAUGUCAUGGAGGUGGUACAGUAGAUUAUAGUAAUGUCAUGGAGGUGGUACAGUAGGUUAUAGUAAUGUCAUGGAGGUGGUAUAGUAGUUUAUAGUACUAGUAAUGUCAUGGAGGUGGUACAGUAGGUUAUAGUAAUGUCAUGGAGGUGGUACAGAAGAUUAUAGUAAUAGUAAUGUCAUGGAGGUGGUACAGUAGAUUAUAUUAAUAGUAAUGUCAUGGAGGUGGUACAGUAGAUUAUAGUAAUAAUAAUGUCAUGGAGGUGGUACAGUAGAUUAUAGUAAUAAUAAUGUCAUGGAGGGGGUACAGUAGAUUAUAGUAAUGCCAUGGAGAUGGUAUAGUAGAUUAUAGUAAUGCCAUGGAGAUGGUAUAGUAGAUUAUAGUAAUGCCAUGGAGGUGGUACAGUAGAUUAUAGUAAUGUCAUGGAGGUGGUACAGUAGAUUAUAGUAAUGUCAUGGAGGUGGUAUAGUAGUUUAUAGUACUAGUAAUGUCAUGGAGGUGGUACAGUAGGUUAUAGUAAUGUCAUGGAGGUGGUACAGAAUAUUAUAGUAAUAGUAAUGUCAUGGAGGUGGUACAGUAGUUUAUAGUACUAGUAAUGUCAUGGAGGUGGUACAGUAGGUUAUAGUAAUUUCAUCCCUAAAGCCAACACCUCAUUUGGCCGCCUUUCGUUCCAGUACUCUGCUGCCUGUGACUGGAACGAAUUGCAAAAAUCGCUGAAGUCGGAGACUUUUAUCUCCCUCACCAACUUCAAACAUCAGCUAUCUGAGCAGCUAACCGAUCGCUGCUGCUGUACAUAGUCUAUUGGUAAAUAGCCCACCCAUUUUCACCUACCUCAUCCCCAUACUGUUUUUAUUUAUUUACUUGCUCUUUUGCACACCAAUAUCUCUACCUGUACAUGACCAUCUGAUCAUUUUUCACUCCAGUGUUAAUCUGCAAAAUUGUAAUUAUUCGCCUACCUCCUCAUGCCUUUUGCACACAUUGUAUAUAGACUCCCCCCUUUGUUUUCUACUGUGUUAUUGACUUGUUAAUUGUUUAUUCCAUGUGUAACUCUGUGUUGUCUGCUCAC